rnacentral:rRNA from 1 species
GAUGAACGCUGGCGGCGUGCCUAAUACAUGCAAGUCGAGCGAACAGACGAGGAGCUUGCUCCUCUGACGUUAGCGGCGGACGGGUGAGUAACACGUGGAUAACCUACCUAUAAGACUGGGAUAACUUCGGGAAACCGGAGCUAAUACCGGAUAAUAUAUUGAACCGCAUGGUUCAAUAGUGAAAGACGGUUUUGCUGUCACUUAUCGAUGGAUCUGCGCCGCAUUAGCUAGUUGGUAAGGUAACGGCUUACCAAGGCAACGAUGCGUAGCCGACCUGAGAGAGUGGUCGGCCGCACUGGAGGUGGAACAGGCACCAGACUCCUACGGGAGGCCGCAGUAGGGAACCUUCCGCAGUAGGCGAAAGCCUGGCGGAGCAGCGCCGCGUGAGUGAUGGAGGUCUUCGGAUCGUGAAACUCUGUUAUUAGGGAAGAACAAAUGUGUAAGUAACUAUGCACGUCUUGACGGUACCUAAUCAGAAAGCCACGGCUAACUACGUG